rnacentral:sRNA from 1 species
UGGAAGGAUCAUUAAUGAAAUGAAUGUUGAAAAAGGGUUGUAGCUGGCCUUUAGGGGCAUGUGCACACCCUGAUCACACAUCCACCUCUCACACCUGUGCACUAUGUGUAGCUUGGGAUGAUUACAAUAUUAGAAAUAAUGUUGAAAGCCCUAGCUAUGAAUUUUUUAUAAACUUAUAUAUAAAAUUAUAGAAUGAAUGAUGUUAUAGCACAUAAUAGUGCAAAUAUAUACAACUUUCAGCAACGGAUCUCUUGGCUCUCGCAUCGAUGAAGAACGCAGCGAAAUGCGAUAAGUAAUGUGAAUUGCAGAAUUCAGUGAAUCAUCGAAUCUUUGAACGCACCUUGCGCUCCUUGGUAUUCUGAGGAGCAUGCCUGUUUGAGUGUCAUGAAAUUCUCAACUGCCUUUUAGCAUUUUUAUGUUAAGGUGAAGUUGGAGUUGGAGGAUAACUGCUGGCGCAACUUUGGUUGCUUGUUGGCUCCUCUUAAAUGGAUGAGCUUUUCUGAUGGAUCAUAGCUCAGUAAUACUAAUGUGAUAAUUAUUUACAUUGGAUGUGAAAGCUGUGAGUA